UGGCCUUUCUCCAUCUCUCUCUCUCACAUGCUCUCUGCUCUACUAGGCCCGAACGGCUGCCCUCCGAUGGUUGCCGGCGUGCAGACACUGGAUCAGGAGUACCAGACACCGCUGAAACUCCAGCCUUGCGAGCCCAUCGUUGCCGUUCUCCACCGCGAGCAGAAGCCUCCAGGCUCGUACUUUUGGACAAGUAAAGGACUAUUGGGGCAUUGAACAAUCUGAGGUAUGCCCCUCAAUCUCUCGCAGGUGGUGGAGUGGUGGCCUCGCAGGGGUCGUGACGGUGGUCUUCGCCGAGGUACUUUUGGGUCUCGGUCAUAGAUGGUCUCAACAGAGGUGAGAUGCGUGGGUCUCAUGGCUGGUCUUGGCAGAGCUAGGUAGUCUACAGAAUGGAACAUUUAGUUUUGGAGCAAGAAAAACAAUAUCCAUCUAGAGUAAGAUGACAACUUUUAAAUGCACAUGUAAAGGCAAGGGUAAGAUGAAUUGACCAUGG